rnacentral:tRNA from 1 species
CGCGGGAUGGAGCAGCCCGGUAGCUCGUCGGGCUCAUAACCCGAAGGUCGGGGGUUCAAAUCCCUCUCCCGCAACCA